rnacentral:rRNA from 1 species
UACGGAAGGGGCAAGCGUUGUUCGGAAUCAUUGGGCGUAAAGGGCGCGUAGGUGGUCCUGUAUGUCUACCGUGAAAGGGUACAGCUCAACUGUAGCUCGGCGGUAGAAACUGCAGGACUUGAGGCUGGGAGGGGCUGGUGGAAUUCCCUGUGUAGCGGUGAAAUGCGUAGAGAUGGGGGAGAACACUCGUGGCGAAGGCGGCCAGCUAGACCAGUUCUGACACUGAGGCGCGACAGCGUGGGGAGCAAACAGG